rnacentral:misc_RNA from 1 species
CUUUGUCACUGAUUCUCAAAUUUACAGAACAAACACCAACCGAGUAGCAAGAAUCAGAUGACUCUUCAAGAAUGAAAAAUGUUUCAACACAGUAUUCUUGAACAUUCAUUUCUUCUUUUAAUUCCAUUAAUUUUACAAUAUUUCUCAGUUAAAUUAGACCAAAAUAUUGAAAUUGACUCUGAGGUUUCGAAUACAGAAAACACUACGAGCCAAAACUUCAUAAAAGUAGCACAUUUGGAGCAGAGAGUCCAAAAUUGUUUUUUAACCUGUUCAUAACUCAAUAACCAUGCAAUUAGCAUAGUUCCUUAAUCUUGCCAAGCUCCACAAGCAUAGUCAAAAGUGCCUUACACAUUUCACUGCAAUCAGGCUCAUUAGGAUCCUUCUUACCUGAAGAGUAAACCAUCCAUGCAUAUGGUUGAGCUUCCGGUUUGGUCUGACUACAACUGAACCUAGAACUUCAGCAUCUCAGUGAGUUACUAGUCCAUCACUUUUCUCUUCAUGCCUAAGCUACAAGUGAAAUGCGCACACAGAGAGAAUAUCAGGCUCCUGAACCGCAAGUCUUGGAAGGGGAAGCCGGGGGAACCCAAUGAGCCUCUAAUUUAACAGAUUCAUCAACAAUAUUACCUCCAACACAACAAAAUGGAAGUACAAUAAUAAAAUCCAGAAAAACGCAGAGAGAGAAGCCAAGAAACAAAGCCGGCCAGUCCUUUUAUCCAUUUGCUCGAAAGGACAGUCGCCCCAGGGCGGCGUCUCAUAAUUAUCCCAACUCCGAAUCAUUACACAAGAAACCCAGUUCCCAAAUUCAACAAUUCCACCAAAUAAGACCAAUAACUCAGCCAAAACCCAACCCAAAAAGAAAAAACACUAAUUUUAACAGACAAGCUGUAUAAUAUCGCAGAGAUCUUAACCGUCUCAGAGCUAGAGCUGCGAUUAAGCGUGCAAAUAUAUCGGAAGAAAAAAAAGAAAAUUUUAUGACUUUAGAGAUGUAAAUUUAAGACUGAAUCAGCACGAAUCACUGUAACGGUGCUAUCUGUUACAGAUGUUUCUCACCCAGAAAGAGGAGAAAAUGUCGUCGAAAAUCAAAAGAAGAAACAUUGAAACAGAGUUCAAAAAGAACUGAUGAGAACAUAGAGAUGGGUGCAGGAACUUACAGAGAUUAGAUUCGCUGUAUAGAGAGAGAGAGAGAUCAUAGCUCUCUG